rnacentral:ncRNA from 2 species
UACCCACGUGGCCCAGGGCACGAACAUCGCUGUUGACUAACAGGUAGUCACGUGAAAUGUUCUUUUAAUCUCGCGCGCGUUUUCUUUUAAGCAACAAACAUUUAACCACUUAAGGGAUACUUUGGUGAAAAGAACUCGACUGGAUGUUUCUCGACGAGGUGGGUGGUGGUAGAUGGCCGUUCUUAGUUGGUGGAGUGAUUUGUCUAGUUAGUUCCGAUAACGAAAGAGUUUAUAUCGUAUUAAAUAGGUGCAUGGCUCUCUUCACCUUCCACUCUUUCCAAAGAAACAAGCGGCUCCUAGCUGCGCGAAGCAGAGCAAUAACAGGUCUGUGAUGCUCUUAGAUGUCCGGGGUCGCACGCCCUCGCUACGCUGAAGGAAGCAGCCCGUUUUUAUUCCUGCCGGUAAAGACUUGGUAACCCGUGGAACCUUCUUCGUGAUUGAAAUAGGGGUUUGCAAUUGUUUCCCUUCACUCUUAGAAAUAAGGGGUGUGCACAGGUGUACACCCCUUGUCCCAUAUGUAACACCCCAAAUAAAACAUUUGGACGUUCAGUCCACUGACUUCCAUCUCUGGCGAUGCCAACUUUUACGAGCGCCUUUAUAGCUGUUGGAUAUAACGUACAAAACAGAUUAUGUGCGUAUCAAGCACUCAAAAAAAAAAACAAAAAAAACACUGAGGUUUUGCAGCAGGGCCAAAAAACAUUGAUUGUCUUAUUGCAGCCUUUAAUGCGUACAUUGCCUAUUUUAAUAAAGUCUGCUGGUAAAAGUUGGUAUUGUCGGUUGGACGUUUGUGGACUGAACGUCGAAUUGUUAUUCUGGGGUAUUGCAUAAAAGACAAGGGGUGUGCCCUUGUACACCACCUAUUUCUUAGAGUGUUGAACGAGGAAUUCCUUGUACGCGCGAGUCAUAGUUCUCGCGUUGAUUACGUCUCUGCCCUUCGUACACACCGCCCGUCGCUACUACCGAUUGAAAGAUCUAGUGAGGCCUUAGGACCGAUACCCGGAGCGGCCUUUCAGUUGCACCGGUGUGAUGAAGAGAUGACAGCAUUAAGAGGAAGUAAAAGUAUUGGAGGGUGCAGUGCACUAACAUUU